rnacentral:rRNA from 1 species
UACGAAGGGGGCUAGCGUUGCUCGGAAUCACUGGGCGUAAAGCGCACGUAGGCGGAUUGCUAAGUCAGGGGUGAAAUCCUGGAGCUCAACUCCAGAACUGCCCUUGAUACUGCCGUGACUCGAGUCCGGUAGGGGAGUGUGGAAUUCCCGGUGUAGCGGUGAAAUGCGCAGAUAUCGGGAGGAACACCAGUAGCGAAGGCGGCACUCUGGGCCGUGACUGACGCUGACGGAGCGAAAGCGUGGGUAGCAAACAGG